AACGAACGCUGGCGGCAGGCCUAACACAUGCAAGUCGAGCGGACCUUUCGGGGUCAGCGGCGGACGGGUGAGUAACGCGUGGGAAUAUGCCCUUCUCUACGGAAUAGUCCUGGGAAACUGGGGGUAAUACCGUAUACGCCCUUUGGGGGAAAGAUUUAUCGGGGAAGGAUUAGCCCGCGUUGGAUUAGGUAGUUGGUGGGGUAAUGGCCUACCAAGCCGACGAUCCAUAGCUGGUUUGAGAGGAUGAUCAGCCACACUGGGACUGAGACACGGCCCAGACUCCUACGGGAGGCAGCAGUGGGGAAUCUUAGACAAUGGGGGCAACCCUGAUCUAGCCAUGCCGCGUGAGUGAUGAAGGCCUUAGGGUUGUAAAGCUCUUUCAGCUGGGAAGAUAAUGACGGUACCAGCAGAAGAAGCCCCUGCUAACUCCGUG
rnacentral:rRNA from 1 species